rnacentral:rRNA from 1 species
ACGGAGGUCCCGAGCGUUGUUCGGAAUUAUUGGGCUUAAAGCGCGUGUAGGCGGGAUGGCAAGUACCUUGUGAAAUCCCCGGACUCAAUCCGGGAACUGCUUGGUAUACUGCCGUUCUCGAGGCAGGUAGGGGUCACUGGAACCUUAGGUGGAGCGGUGAAAUGCGUAGAUAUCUAAGGGAACGCCUGUGGCGAAAGCGGGUGACUGGGCCUGUCCUGACGCUGAGACGCGAAAGCGUAGGGAGCAAACGGG